rnacentral:rRNA from 1 species
UACGGAGGGAGCUAGCGUUGUUCGGAAUCACUGGGCGUAAAGCGCACGUAGGCGGCUUCUUAAGUCAGGGGGUGAAAUCCUGGAGCUCAACUCCAGAACUGCCUUUGAUACUGGGAGGCUCGAGUCCGGGAGAGGUGAGUGGAACUGCGAGUGUAGAGGUGAAAUUCGUAGAUAUUCGCAAGAACACCAGUGGCGAAGGCGGCUCACUGGCCCGGUACUGACGCUGAGGUGCGAAAGCGUGGGGAGCAAACAGG